rnacentral:lncRNA from 1 species
CCCCCCUCUCUCAUCUCCUCCUCCCUCAAACUCUUGCAGCCACCAUCCCACAAACCCUAGCCGCCCCCAUCUCCUCCUCUCCUAGGUGCAGCCCUCCCGCUUGAUCUACAUCGCGUGGGUGCAAAUCUCCAAUUGGAAUUUGGUGGAAGGAAGAAGGAGGGAGGAAAUGGGGAGAAGUCAAGGUGAUUUUGUGAUUAACUCUUGUUUAUUUGUGCUGCAAUUUAAUCGAUUAGAUGUUUACGUAUGCGAAUUGGUAGAGGUGCUGUCCAAAAAAAACAGAUUUGCAGGUGGGCGAACAGCAGUAGUAUUAGCAGUUUCUGGGGAUUUUUCGUGGGUAAUUAGUGAUAAUCAGUAUGAUAAUCAGGUAGAGCUUUGUCAUACCUUUCCAACGAGUACUUAAGCGCUCGAUUCGGAGUUAUAUUUUAGGAGAUAUCGCUGUUUGAAUCCGGGUAUGCUGCUGCCCAAAAAAACAGAUUUGCAGGUGUGCGAACAGCAGUAAUAUUAGCAGUUUCUGGGGAUUUUCGUGGGUAAUUAGUGAUAAUCAGUAUGAUAAUCAUGUAGAGCUUUGUCAUACCUUUCCAACGAGCACUUAUGCGCUUGAUUCGGAGUUAUAUUUUAGGAGAUAUCGCUGUUUGAAUCCGGGUAUGUUGCUGUAAAAAAACAGAUUUGCAGCUGGGCGAACAGCAGUAGUAUUAACAGAUUCUAGGGAUUUUUCGUGGGUAAUUAGUGAUAAUCAGUAUGAUAAUCAUGUAGAGCUUUGUCAUACCUUUCCAACGAGUACUUAUGCGCUCGAUUCGGAGUUAUAUUUUAGGGGAUAUCGUUGUUUGAAUCUGGGUAUGCUGCUGUCCAAAAACAGAUUGCAGGGUUUAUCUUGUGAACUGUUUUGGGCUAAUUAGGGGUUGGAAUUUAGUUAUCAUUUGAAUAUGAAACUUGUGGGUAAUUUUAUGUAAAUGCUUCCAGAGUUUUUUAUUGAUAUCACUGCUGUUAUAAUUUUAAAGUUAUGAAAUUAUCAAACAGCGCCGCUGCAGUUUGGUGGUGAUGGGGAGAGUUGUCGCUCACGACGGGUUGGAAUUGUGCGUAGGUGCGGCAUUGUUUAUUAGCAUUUGUUAUGUUGAUUUGUACACUAAGGUGUGUGUCAAAAAAAGGUGGUGGACUUCUGGAUCGUACUUAGUACCAUAACAAAUUCCCGGUGAAGGCAAGUAAAUACAGUGGUGGUUGCUACCGUUUGGUUUGCAUCCUAUGCCUUGUCAUUGAGUAUGCUUAAGUAUUAAAUGUGUUAAUCAUUGAAUUCUAUGAUGAAGUUUAUUUGUUCGAAAGUAUUAAUUCUCAAUUGUCUAAUAUUGCGGAUGAUCAUGAUUUGGGAAUGAUAUAUGUGGUUGAUUCCCAUCUUGGAUGAAGUUGAAGUAUCUUUUUGAAUCACGUUAUAUGAAGUGUUGUAGGCAUGUCAUGCACAUCGCAUCAUCCAUCUUGCAUGUUGAAGUUAUGUCGUGAUCUUAUGGUCCGACCGUAUCGGUACACUUUUAGCAUCGUACGUUGCCCGAGGAGGGGUACGAUGCGGCUUCAUAUCCUUAGAGGUAUGAAGGCAGAAGUCAUCCUUGCAUUUGCAGACAUUUGCACUCAUAAGGUAUAUAUGAAGUGUGACAUUACUAUGUUACUAUUAUGGUUUCUACCUGCGAGGUGUGGUAACUAGGCGUGCUGUACGUUGUAUUCAUGCUGCACCUUCGUAAUAAGAAGGUUGUGAGAUUAAGUGGUGGUAAAACAAUGUUCUUAUGUGGUUAAACAGUUUGUUAUUAUUUUACUUGCUGAGAUGUGUUAUCUCACUCUUGCAUUACUCAAUGCAGGUACUUGAUACAUGUUGGGAAUUAGGGGAGUAGCAGCACGUCCACUUUCACUCUCAUAAUAACGCUGCCUAGGCGCAGCCAUGAUUUAAUUAGAAACUUGUUGUCAAAGGAUGUUUGUUUUUUAACUAGUCGUGCGCACUGGUUAAUUCAGUUCAUGUCGUAUGUUUAAAUUCCCUUUGCUAGCCGAUUAAUAAUACUUAGUAUGUUUUUUGUCAUGAUAUAUGUUUAUACACGGUUGCCCCCUCAUUUAUGCAAUUUUGCAAACGAGAUGCUGCCGAAAUUUUAUAUACGGAUGUCAGAGGUGUAGUUCAGUGGCAUUCCGGGGUGUUUGUGGAUCCCGGGGUGUUACAGUUGGUAUCAAAGGAUAGGCUUUAGAUUCUACGCAAUUUGAAGAUAAAUUUGACACACUUGCACAUAUAGGAAAGGUAUGAGUUCGUAUAUCUUUCAUAUUAGUAUUUUAUUGUAUAGAUGACUAGAAUUCCCUUACUCCAAAUCCCUUUAUGGUUUGAUGGGAUAUGUCGUUAACGACUUAAUGCUUGAUAUGAUAUGUUACUUCUAUUUAAUAUUGGUUUCUUGAUGUGGUUGUUGUUGAAGUUAUUAUGCAAGUAAAGCUACUAAUGUACUUGUUUUGUACAUAUCGUCAUGAUGUUUUUUUAUGCAAUGUUUUUCAAAUCUCUGAGCUAUUACUAUCAUAUAUUUCUAUAUGCUUGACUAUGGAUGUUUUUUAAUGGAUUUUUUUGGGUCCUAGUAUUUGUAGGACCGAUUGUUUAUUGAGUUUGUGCAUAGUGGGUCUAAUCCGGCUUGGUGUGGUGUGAAAACACUAUAUAAUGUAGUUUUAUCAUGUUGUUGAGUCUGAUUGAAUAUUGGGUUACAACCCAACUUAUCAAUGUAAUAUUUCCAUGGAUGCAAUGCUUUGUGCCUCACUCCUUUGGGCUAAUAUGGCUACUUGCCAACUUGAUCUUAGAGUACAAUAGGUUUGUCUCCAUAGAGCAAAGGCAAUGUUGUACUGUCUAUGAAAUCUUGAGACUGGUAGAACUCAAGUGAAUUUGUAAGAGGACGUGGAUAGAUAAGUUCAACCAUGUUUACAUGAUAGGUUUUCUUGUUGUGUGCAACCUUAUCUUUAACAAUAAAUAGGGUGAUUUCAAGCGAAUUUUAUGUCUAUAUUAUAGUCGAAGAGGCAUGCAUGUUUUCCUCCUAUGGUUUGUUUCUAUAGCCAUAAAUGUUAUGCAUAAUUUUUAUUUGUUGGAGGCUAGUCACGUGGACGAUAUGGACAACCCGUUUUAUAUUUUUUUUAAUCGCCGAUGAUAUAUGGUAAUUUUAUUUUUUUAUGAUCAGUUCUCUAUGCAUGCUUGUUGAAUUAUUAUUUGGACCGCUUUAUCUUAAACAAAGUCAAUGCUUAACUGGAAGUUGCUUAUGUUUGUUAGUCAUCUAUCUCUAUAAUGAUGUGGUUGUUACAUCAGAUGGAGAUUUUUUUCAUAUGAAUGAUGGUUUGGUAGAUCAUGUAUGUCUACUACUUUGAAUUCAUCCUAUGACAUCACGAGGUACAAAUUGUUCAAGUGCAAUAAUAGGAGGUAUUGUUGUAUGUGAGGUUAAUCAAGGUAGUUUGGUUAGGUGGAUUGUCUUAUUGAAGUCCAAUUACUCCUGUUGAGCAUAGUAUCGUGUUAUUAUUUUAGUGCUGAAAGUAAUAUUUAUGAAGCUUUUGCAUGAGUCUGUAUCAAGAAGAACAUUAGUUUUUCUUGUUGUUAUCCCUCCAUUGUUUUAUGAGUGUUGCACAUUUUAUCUCUUUUGAGAGGAGAAAAAAAGACGGUAUAUGGCAUGAGCACCAUUUGCUUCACGUCAACAGAAUAGUUUUGGAGAUUUCUAGUAGUUGGAUUCUUGUGUAACAACAACCAUGUUUUAUAGUGCUUGAGACAGGUAUAUCAGGUGUUUCAUACAUUGCCGAUACAUGGAUGUUUGACCUUAGUGGCAUUAACAAACGAGGUUGUUGAAUUCAUUGAUUGUUGUGCUUAGUGUUCUAACCUAUUUGGUAGAGUGUUAUUUAAAGACUUUGUGGACUUGCAUCCCAGUUUGGUUGUGGAAAAUCCUAGUGUUGAUUGCACCUGCCAAUGCCUUGGGUUUCAUUUUAUAUUGUUUUUUAUUGUUGUUAAUGUGUUGUUUGGUUUCGGGAGGCAUUUUAAAUUAGUUGGAGGCUGAAUCAAGCUUCACUUAUCUAGAAUGUUUUGUAGUAUGUUUCUUCAUAUUUCCAUAGGAUGCUUAAUCACCAUGUUUGGUCUAAACAUUUGAGAGUUAUGGGUUUCUUAAAACAUCCUUUUUGGUGUCUCUGGUAGAAUGAGUCUUUAAUUUUGUAUGGAAGAGUAGACAUUGAAGACGGUAUAAUUUGGUCUUUGUUGGAUUAUGAAAGUUUUAGUAAUUUCAUGAUCUUUCCAAAGAGUUUUGGUUUGUAAUUCUUAUUGCAUAUAAUUGGAGUCAGGCUGCUCGGAAGUUGUUGCACCGUUGUGUCUGAAAUUUAGGUGUCGUUAUAAUCACCAAUAAAUCGACCGCGGUUUGAUAGUUUCAGAGCCCAAAUUUGGGAAUUCUCUUUAAGCAAAACUUUUAGUUCUUCGCAGUACCUUUUAAAUGAGUAUUUACUUGUGAUUGUCUGUUAAAUAGAUUGGGAGAGGUGGUUGUCUGGAUAUAAGUCGAAUCUCUAAUGUGCAGUAUCUCAGGAUGAGUUUAGCUGUACGUCAUGCAGAGUUGAGGGCUAUAAAGAUAAAUUUGGGUGCAACUUUAUUGCAGAAGUCGUGGACAAUUUUCAAACUUUUCCAACGUGUGUUCGUUGUAGUUUAAGUUGAGUAUAGCAGGAGUUAUAGGUUUUUGAAUUUUAGUUGUCCAUUGUUUGAAUCCUAUCAGUUUUGCAACAGAAGUGUUGCAUUGUUUUAUCGGUUUGGAAACCAAUUCCGAGACACUCAUUAUAAUAAAAGUUUUAGGGAAUGUUAUAAUCUUUUCAAUGAGUUUAUAUUUGCAAAAUUUUGUUAGCUGCAGGGAGUUAUGAUAUAAUGUAUAGAAUGUGCUUGGAUGAAUAUGUGGGCAAGCAUAACAUGCUUAAAUUGAUUCUUGUUUGCAUGAUGUGAGAUUAAGCUUAAAUGAUUUAAAAGGUUAUCAUAUUGCUUCUAUACUUAUAUUUGUUCUAAGUGUCUCGUAAUGAAGAACCUAAAGUUAUUAGUCUUUCGAUGAACGCUUAAUCUUAGAAGAGUAAUGAACCUGUUAAAAUCUGUUGCUUGCUGUUGGGACUGCAUGACCAGUUUUAGUUAUGCAACUAGUUCAAUGAAGUAAACCAUCUUUUCUGUAGAGAUGUUAUAUAUAAAAGUUGUAGCCAACUUCUUUAUCUUACUUGUGUAAAAAUUUCAUGAUCAUAGGUCUAGUAGUUUGGGAGUUAUGAUUUUCUCAAGUCCAGUCUUGGAAUCUGUCCAGAUUCUGUACAGACUUCGAAACUGACCUUGUUUGCCCAAUAUAAACUUCGAAUAAGUUCUUAUAAAUUAUAAAUAAGUCGUAGUACUUUUCUUAAUAUUUUCAACAAAUUUUGGAUCACCCUUUUUGGAGAUCUAUAAGUUAAGUUACAGCUGUUUUAAGUGUGAUCUCUGAAUCUGUCCAAAUUUGGACAGUUAUAAAUGAAUUAUAGACAAUUCUAUUAGCUUUCUAAAAAGGCUAGGAGCACCUGAAUUGGUUGACUGAGACUCCAAUUAGGGAUUUUUUGAAUUGAGUAGUUGAAUUCUGUCCAAGUCUGGACAGAAUUUACGUUUAGCAUUGUUUGACCUUUCUAAGUGUCAAAUCUUGUUGUGAUGAUAAUACCAAGGGUAUAGUGGACUUUAUAAGAUUUCCAUAAAGUCCUAGUCUACUAUUUUUGGAUGCAUAUUUUGUGAGUUAUGAGCAAAACAAUUAACAAUUGUGCUGCUGUCCAGAAAUAUGCAAGCAUUAAGUUGCUCUCUUGAAGUUGCUCUUGUUUGGCUAAGUUUGGUUUAGGCUAUAGGAACACUAUAUGCAUUGCAUUCAUAUAUACAUUCCUUGAAGUACUUGCAUAUGUCAAUGUUGAUUUGGUGUCAGGAAAGCUUUGUCCGAGGUAUAUAGGACUGUCUACUAUCUUAGCCGAGUUGGUAGCUGGGCUUAGCACAUGCAAUUGUCGGAAUCUAUUAUCAGAGUACACCAUGUAUUCCAUGUCUUUAUGUUGAGGAAGUAUUUGAGGAAUCUAGACCAUCAAAUCGAGCUAGAGCUAAUUCCCGUGUAGCAAGACCAGACUCUAGAGUGUCGUCUGCUGCGUAUCUUAGAAUCCUAGGAGCUUGAGGAGCUGAUGCGACAGAAGUACCCGGACUUUUCGUUACGUGUGAGUUUUGUUGAUUCAUUAAUCUUUCUUGUGUCGUUCUGAUAGAAGCGUCGGAAUUCGAGGUCGAAUUCUUUUUAAGGGGGGUAGAGUGUGAUACCCAAUUUUCAAAAAAAGAAGAGAUAUUGAAGAUUAUUCUUUUUUUCUUUGUUUUCUCUUCCGGGUCCUGUGCUACAGGGGUUUGGAAUUUUUGGGAAGCAUUCACCAGUAAAACAGUAGAAUUUUUUAUUAGACUCAUGCGCUAGGGUUGGGAGCUGUGGUGUGAGCGAGUUGGGCCGUGAAACUCGAUCCGGCCCACUAGCCCCCCCCUAACCCUAGCCGCCCUCCCUCUAAUCCCCUCCCCCUUGUGCAGCCGCCCCCCUCUCUCUAGCCUUUGUGCAGCCGCCCCCUCUCUCAUCUCCUCCUCCCUCAAACUCUUGCAGCCACCAUCCCACAAACCCUAGCCGCCCCCCAAUCUCCUCCUCUCCUAGGUGAAGCCCUCCCGCUUGAUCUACGUCGCGUGGGUGCAAAUCUCCAAUUGGAAUUUGGUGGAAGGAAGAAGGAGGGAGGAAAGGGGGAGAAGUCAAGGUGAUUUUGUGAUUAACUCUUGUUUAUUUGUGCUGCAGUUCAAUCGAUUAGAUGUUUACGUAUGCGAAUUGGUAGAGGUGCUGUCCAAAAAAACAUAUUUGCAGGUGGGCGAACAGCAGUAGUAUUAGCCGUUUUUGGGGAUUUUUCUUGGGUAAUUAGUGAUAAUCAGUAUGAUAAUCAUGUAGAGCUUUGUUAUACCUUUCCAAUGAGUAUUUAUGCGCUCGAUUCGGAGUAAUAUUUUAGGAGAUAUUGCUGUUUGAAUCCGGGUAUGUUGCUGUCCAAAAAAACAGAUUUGCACGUGGGCGAACAGCAGUAAUAUUAGCAGUUUCUGGGAAUUUUUAGUGGGUAAUUAGUGAUAAUCAGUAUGAUAAUCAUGUAGAGCUUUGUCAUACCUUUCCAACGAGCACUUAUGCGCUCGAUUCGGAGUUAUAUUUUAGGAGAUAUCGCUGUUUGAAUCCGGGUAUGUUGCUGUCCAAGAAACAGAUUUGCAGGUGGGCGAACAGCAGUAGUAUUAGCCGUUUCUGGGGAUUUUUCGUGGGUAAUUGAUGAUAAUCAGUAUGAUAAUCAUGUAAAGCUUUGUCAUACCUUUCCAACGAGUACUUAUGCGCUCGAUUCGGAGUUAUAUUUUAGGGGAUAUCGCUGUUUGAAUCCGGGUAUGCUGCUGUCCAAAAACAGAUUGCAGUGUUUAUCUUGUGGACUAUUUUGGGCUAAUUAGGGGUUGGAAUUUAGUUAUCAUUUGAAUAUAAAACUUGUAGGGAAUUUUAUGUAAAUGCUUCCAGAGUUUUUGAUUGAUGUCACUUCUGUUAUAAUUUUAAAUUUAUGAAAUUAUCAAACAGCGCCGCUGCAGUUUGGUGGUGAUGGGGAGAGUUGUUGCUCGCGACGGGUUGGAAUUGUGCGUUGGUGCGGCGUUGUUUAUUAGCGUUUGUUAUGUUAAUUUGUACACUAAAGUGUGUGUCAAAAACAGGUGGUGGACUUCCGGAUUGUACUUAGUACCAUUCCAAAUUCCCGGUGAAG